CCAUACAUCUUACCCCAUAAACCCUAAAACCACUCGUCACCUCCGCCCCCACGAGCUCAGAGUGAGCGAGAGAGAGAGAGAGAGGGAGAGAGAGAGAGAAGACGAUGUGGAGAUCCAAAGCGAGGGCUUUCCUCCUCCUCAAACCCUCGAUCCUUAGGUCACCACCAUCCCAGGUACUCUCCAAAACCCUAACCCUAAUCCCAGCGCCACCUCCCAUGCCCACCCCAACCCAUUUCCGCACCCUCAGAUCCUUCUCCUCGACCAACCACGCCUUCUCCUCGGAUUAUGACCCCAAAAACCCUAAUGGCUCUUCAGAAUCGGCGGCGUUUGAGGCCGGAGGUGAGAACCCUAGCGGUUCCGCUUUAAAUGAGAAGGAGACCAGUCCUAACGAGGUGGAGGGCGAUAGUUUGAGCUCUCUUUGGGAGGAGAGCAUUAAUGGUGAUGAUGCCGAUAGCAUCUUCGCAGCGGAGUCCAAAUCCGUAGUGGGAGCUGCAGAUGAAUCUGAGGAGUUUGAUAUUGACGAGGAAGUUGAUCACAUCCGAUCUGUUAUAGAAACUUGUCCGGCCGAUCAGAUAGAGAGGACCUACACAAAGUUGGCAUUUCACAUGACUGAAGAGGUCCUCUCUAGGGUUUUCAAAACCACACCUUGUUCCGCCGAAAAGUUCAUUGCUUUCUUUAAAAUUGUUGCGAUAAAUUAUCCUUUCACGAAGAAUUUGAGAACCGUGGGGUUUCUCGUCGAUGCAAUUAGCCUAGUGGAUGAGCUUGAAAAGAAGGAUGCUUACAUGUUGUGGGAUUUGAUUAAGGAGAUAGGGAAAGAGAAAGGGUUGGUUACUACCGAGGUUCUUAACAGUUUGAUCUCCAUGUUUUGGAAGCUGGGGAAAGCGAAGGCUGCUCUUGAGGUCUUCGAAAAGUUUGAUGAGUUUGGGUGUAGCCCGGAUGGGAAUACUUACUAUUUCACCAUCGAAGCACUUGGUCGGAGGUCCAUGAUUGAUACUGCUUGGUCUGUUUGCGAGAAGAUGAUCAAUUCAGGGAGAUUUCCUGAUGGCGAGAAGAUGGGUGAAAUUGUUCUCUUCUUCUGCCGAGGUGGAAAGCCUAAAGAGGCUCAUUUAGUCUAUUUAGCUGCAAAGGAGAGUAAGGUCUCUCUAUCGGCAUCUGUCUUCGAUUUUCUGGUCGGUGCACUAUCUAAAAAAGAUGAAACCAUUUAUACCGCUAUGGAGUUACUUGAAGACUAUCCAAAAGAGUCCCUUAAGUACGCGAAUAAGUCUUUUGCUUCGGUUAUUCAUGGUUUAUGUAAGGUGAAAGAUGUAAAAGAAGCAAAGAAGUUGCUACUUAGGAUGGUAAAUGUAGGGCCGGCACCUGGUAAUGCGGCGUUCAACUAUGUUAUUACCGCACUCUCUAAAGCAGGGGAAAUGGAUGAUGCGAAGAAUCUAUUGAAAGUAAUGGACAGCAGGGGGCUCAGACCAGAUGUUUAUGCUUAUACUGUUAUAAUGAGCGGCUAUGCGAAGGGCGGCCUAUUGGAUGAAGCCCAUGAAAUCCUUCGUGAAGCCAAGAGAAUACAUCAAAAGUUGAGUCCUGUUACUUACCAUAUUCUAAUUCGUGGUUACUGCAAAAUGGAACAGUUCGAGAAGGCCCUUGAGUGCUUAAAUGAGAUGAAGGAAGAUGGUAUGCAGCCAAACACAGAUGAAUAUAACAAACUUAUCCAGUCUUUGUGCCUCAAGGCUAUGGACUGGCGCACGGCGGAGAAGCUCUUGGAGGAGAUGACGGAGAGUGGACUCUAUCUUAAGGGGAUAACGCGUAGUCUAAUAGCAGCAGUUAAGGAACUAGAAGAGGAGGAAAUUGGACCGGCCAUCAGUGCUGAGACGUAGUUUCUACAAGAUACAAUUUGUUUUGGUAGCUUAGGUAGCUUAGGCUGAUGGCUUUUGUUGUUGCGGCAUUUUUCUCGACUUGUGCAGGAUUAUAAGUUCUACUUGUUAAAGCUAUCAGGAAAUUUCUGCGCUCCAGUCAACUGCUUGGAGCUUAUGGUGGAAAUGACUUUUGCCUCAACUAUCUCCCCGAUUGAAAUUGAAACACGUUGAGAGCCUGCUAUUGUAUGAUAAGUUUUGAGUGAGUAUAACAGUUUAAUGAUGGAGCAUAAUGUGGAUGUUUAAUCAUCGCUCUUAUUCCGGUGGAAACGGCUGCAGCAUUUGAAUCCUUGGAUAUGCUGGGAGUUUGAUCUAUCGGAAUUUGGUGGUCAUAUUGAAGAUGCGCAGAAUUAAAAUAUAUUCUGAUUGGCUCCAAGAUCUGGUGGAGAAAAGGACAAGUAAUCUCUUACCCUGUUUUUCUGAAUAUUGAUACUGACACCUUCCUAUACUCUUUUAACUACAAGCCAUGUAUCUACCAUAAGUAGGUAAGGAAUGGUAAAUACCAAUUUCAUCCAAAAUGCCCCAGCUUUUCCUUAAUUUGCAGAGUUACUCUAGCAAGAAGCUCCUAUUUUCAUGAUAAAAAUGGGUAUACUUUUAUAGUGUUAUAUUCGAUAGUUGUUUAAAUUUGAGAGAUGCUUUGUACCUCUUUUAGUUAAAAUUUAGUAUGAUGCAUCUUAUAGGACAUAUCAGGCGCGAGCCAUUAGAUCUAUUAUUAUAUGUCUUUUUCCCCAUAUUUUUUAUUUUCUUUUGUACAUGGAUCCAAGAUUGGACAUCACAUGUGACCCUAUUUAAGCACAUUGCUUGUUUUUUGGAUUCAACAGGCCCCCCCCACAUGAUCCGUUGUAACCGGAUCUUAUACAUACUAAAUUACUAAAG